rnacentral:rRNA from 1 species
CAUUACUGAGUUUACGCUCUACAACCCUUUGUGAACAUACCUAUAACUGUUGCUUCGGCGGGCAGGGUCUCCGUGACCCUCCCGGCCUCCCGCCCCCGGGCGGGUCGGCGCCCGCCGGAGGAUAACCAAACUCUGAUUUAACGACGUUUCUUCUGAGUGGUACAAGCAAAUAAUCAAAACUUUUAACAACGGAUCUCUUGGUUCUGGCAUCGAUGAAGAACGCAGCGAAAUGCGAUAAGUAAUGUGAAUUGCAGAAUUCAGUGAAUCAUCGAAUCUUUGAACGCACAUUGCGCCCGCCAGCAUUCUGGCGGGCAUGCCUGUUCGAGCGUCAUUUCAACCCUCAAGCUCUGCUUGGUGUUGGGGCCCUACAGCCGAUGUAGGCCCUCAAAGGUAGUGGCGGACCCUCCCGGAGCCUCCUUUGCGUAGUAACUUUACGUCUCGCACUGGGAUCCGGAGGGACUCUUGCCGUAAAACCCCCAAUUCUCCAAAGGUUGACCUCGGAUCAGGUAGGAAUACCCGCUGAACUUAAGCAUAUCAAUA